UACGUAGGGAGCAAGCGUUGUCCGGAAUCAUUGGGCGUAAAGCGCGCGUAGGUGGCUUCGUAAGUCCGUUGUGAAAGUCAAAGGCUCAACCUUUGAAAGCCGAUGGAUACUGCGGAGCUAGAGUACGGAAGAGGCGAGUGGAAUUCCCGGUGUAGUGGUGAUAUGCGUAGAUAUCGGGAGGAACACCAGUGGCGAAGGCGGCUUUCUGGGCCUUACCUGACGCUGAGACGCGAAAGCGUGGGGAGCGAACCGG
rnacentral:rRNA from 1 species